rnacentral:rRNA from 1 species
GACGAACGCUGGCGGCGUGCCUAAUACAUGCAAGUCGAACGCACUCUCGUUUAGAUUGAAGGAGCUUGCUCCUGAUUGAUAAACAUUUGAGUGAGUGGCGGACGGGUGAGUAACACGUGGGUAACCUGCCCUAAAGUGGGGGAUAACAUUUGGAAACAGAUGCUAAUACCGCAUAAAACCUAACACCGCAUGGUGUAGGGUUGAAAGAUGGUUUCGGCUAUCACUUUGGGAUGGACCCGCGGUGCAUUAGUUAGUUGGUGAGGUAAAGGCUCACCAAGACCGUGAUGCAUAGCCGACCUAAGAGGGUAAUCGGCCACACUGGGACUGAGACACGGCCCAGACUCCUACGGGAGGCAGCAGUAGGGAAUCUUCCACAAUGGACGAAAGUCUGAUGGAGCAACGCCGCGUGAGUGAAGAAGGUUUUCGGAUCGUAAAACUCUGUUGUUGGAGAAGAAUGUAUCUGAUAGUAACUGAUCAGGUAGUGACGGUAUCCAACCAGAAAGCC